rnacentral:rRNA from 1 species
AUACGUAGGGUGCGAGCGUUGUCCGGAAUUACUGGGCGUAAAGAGCUCGUAGGUGGUUUGUCGCGUCGUCUGUGAAAUUCCGGGGCUUAACUCCGGGCGUGCAGGCGAUACGGGCUUAACUUGAGUACUGUAGGGGAGACUGGAAUUCCUGGUGUAGCGGUGAAAUGCGCAGAUAUCAGGAGGAACACCGGUGGCGAAGGCGGGUCUCUGGGCAGUAACUGACGCUGAGGAGCGAAAGCAUGGGUAGCGAACAGGAUUAGAUACCCUGGUAGUCCAUGCUGUAAACGGUGGGCGCUAGGUGUAGGGGUCUUCCACGACUUCUGUGCCGUAGCUAACGCAUUAAACGCCCCGCCUGGGGAGUACGGCCGCAAGGCUAAAACUCAAAGGAAUUGACGGGG